rnacentral:RNase_P_RNA from 1 species
GAAGCAAGUUGAGCGAUAGGUCCGACGCCGCAAGGGGUCAGACAGGAAAGUCCGGACACUCUUUUCGAUGUAAAUCGGAAAAAAGUAGCGGGUAACGCCCGUCGAGCGCAAGCUUAGAGGUGCGAGCAGAAACGUCCUGAGGCGCAAGCCAAAGGAAAGCCCCAUCCCAACGUAGAAGGCUUAAUUCCGCCAUAGGGACAAGAAAGCGGAAAUGAAACGGCUAAAUCCUUACUUGAGUGCAAAGUCGUGUUCUGAUGCAAAUCAGAAAGUGCUGCUUGAGCCUGAGAGCAAUCAAUGGCCUAGAUGAAUUAUCGCUUCCGCCAGUUGGCGGAACAGAAUCCGGCUUAUAGACUUGCUUCAAAU